rnacentral:rRNA from 1 species
UUCUAAUAGAUAUAAUUAUUAGUAAAAUCUGCUCAAUGAAUAAUUAAAUAGCCGCAACUAUGUUGUGCUAAGGUAGCAUAAUCAUUUGUCUUUUAAUUAAAGACUAGAAUGAAUGAUUUAACAUUUUUAUCUCUUUCUUAAACAAAUUUACUUAAAAUUAUUUUAAAUAUAAAAAAAUAUUUAUAAAAUAAAAAGACGAUAAGACCCUAUUGAACUUCACUAAAGUUUUACUGGGGCAGUAAAUUAAUUAUUAUUUUAAUUUAUUUUUUUUUCCAAAAUAACCUGAUACAAUCAAUUAAUCAAGUUACCAUAGGGAUAACAGCGUAAUAAUUUUCUUAAGUUCUUAUUUAAAAAAUAGUUUGCGACCUCGAUGUUGAAUUAAUUACCUAAUAAAUGCAAUAAUUUAAUAAAGGAAGUCUGUUCGACUUUUAAUCAAUUACAU